GGUUGGUUUGCUGUUAGGUUUCUGUCCCAUUGAUGUUAACCCAUUUCCUACUUUCCUAAAGGUUUACACAAUAUAAACAAAAGGAUUUCAUUUGUUUGUGAUGCAAAAAAGUGCUAAGAAUCAUAUAUUCAUGAUAUUAGCUAACAAUUAAAUACUUCAAUAUUUAUUGGGACCAUCAGGGCAAGUAACUUUUUUUCCGGACAAGUGAAAUUUACUGUUUUACUUGCCCAGGGACAAGUACUCACAACAAAUAUUUCCACACCCCUG
rnacentral:lncRNA from 1 species